GCCCCAGUAGCUCAGUGGAUCAGAGCGCUACCCUCCGGAGGUAGAGGCCGGACGUUCGAAUCGUCUCUGGGGCACGA
rnacentral:tRNA from 1 species